GGCAGUUCAGCUGUGCUAUUGGAAGGGGUGGAGCCUGGCUGCUGCUCUCCUAGAUCCCAAUUAAGUGCUGACUGCCACUGAGGAAGGAUCUCUUUCUGGAGAUUGCUCCUUGUGGAGUUUGCUGUCAGCCUGUGACACCGGGGUGACUUCUCCAUCUGCUCAUGGUUCUCUUGCUUCAGUAAUUUCUCCCAUUUGGCCUUAUGUCUGUGAUCUGCAGUGACUCUUCUAGAGCAGAUCUGCUGUUAUGUAAAGGACGCCACAGGUUUCACAGAAAUUAGGCUGAUUCAUGAGCUCAACCCUCAUAAGACACCCAGGAGCACCAUGGUACACACCAUGACUGCAGGAAAAGCUCUGGCCACAGUCACGCUUUGCAGACCCAAGCAGCUCUAAACACAAUCUGCAUGCCAUAGGAAGCAGCCUUCAUCUCCUCACAAAGUUGCUUAUUAUGCCCUGUGCCUCACAGGAUUUACUGUCACCUGGUCUGCGUGCAAUGCAGAGCGUUGACCUGGGAGUCAUGAAUCCACAGCUUCUGUUCCUACCUCUGCCUCGGUGACAAGGUGGACUGAUUUCCAUCCAAGUGAUUUAAAUGAGCCACCGGGGAACCUUGAUUUAAAUCAUCACUGUUUGCUUUUUACAUUGGCGGGAGAGGCAGCUUUAAUGAUGUAUGGCCCUACUGCUGUGGCUGAAAUCUAAAUUCCUGGAAUAUUCCCACUAGAUAAUCGCUAAAGUUCAUGUAUUUGCCUCUGGCUAGUGAGCUGCACAGGCAGGAGCCAGCUCUUGGCAGGGCUGGGUGGUUUGGAGCUUCUGCACUUGUGUUGGCAGCCUGAGAUGGGCAGGGAGGUAGGAGGCACCUCUGGGCUUCUGCAGAACAGAGGAGAGAAGGGAUGGGACUCCGAGAGCUGGCAGGGCUGUGGGAGGAGCAGUGAGCUGCAGUGGGUUCAAGCAGAAAGCAAUCCAGGGCUUUUGGAUCUCCAACCAGGAUCUGAAGGUAUUCAGAGAAGAGCUCCAAGUCUGCGUGGAUGGACAAUUUAUAGAGUAAAUAUGCCAUGAACUUAAUAUGUAUUUUUCUUCAUGGUAGUAAUUGACUUUUUUUUUGUUAGUGAACAGAUGGUUGAUAAUCUAGCUGUCCUUUCUGUUUUCUGCUAACUAGAAAGGUGCCAUAUACCUAUGACCAACAGUGCUGGUACCUCUUUCCUCUCCUCUGCACUGAUACCAUCUAACAGGAAGAAAAAAGACCAACAUUAAUCACUGCAUGACGAGUUCCAAAGCCAAGAAGCUCUACUGGCCUUUUUAUCACAGAUACGAUAAUGUGGUGAGCAGAGAAGAUACACUCAGAAGUUGCUUUCAUCUUGGAGAUAUUUAAUAAACCAGAUACCUAUUUUUGUCUCAGUGAGGAUUCUCACUGAAGGUAUUUCAGAGAGUCCUAAUCGCUCAGGUUCAUGUGUGUGUUUUGAAACUCAUUAACACUGCAGUGCCUCUGCCCAGCACGGCUCAUCAGCACCGGGCUGUAAUUGCAGAGGAGCUUCAAAGGGCCCCCUCCUGCCUUCUUGUGAUGCUGAGGGAGGCUGGGACAGGGCUCAUUUACCAACUACCUGUUUGUUAGGGGCUAUUAAAGGAUAUCUAUUUCAAACACUGUGACCAAAGAGCUGAGUAACACUUUGGCCUUUGCAGCUCUUUUCAUGUGUGGAUCUCAAAGUGUUUUGGCGUCACUAAUUUGAAGCAGGAAUCUCACUAAUUAGCAGUGAUGUGUGGGACAGAGUGCUGUGCUCUGCAGAUCAGCUGUGACACACACACACACACAGUGCUGAUUCCCCAUCGGUGAAGGAUAGCAUACAGCAGCAGAGGCUUUGUGAACUGACUUUGAAGCUCAGUUCCCUUUGGUCACGGAACAGCAUCAGUUGCAGUGCUCAACACCAUGAGGCUCCUAACCUGAAUGGCAAACUGAAAUAUUUGUGUCCAAUUCCUCUCUCCACAGAGUUACGUAGAUUGGAGAAGGGGACUGAUGUCCACAUGGAGGUUUGAUUUUCCCCCUCUGUCAUCUGUACUGUCAGCAAUUGGCAGCUGUACAGCAGGAGCUUGGAUGCUGCCCCUGCUCUGCAACUGCAGUAAGUUCUGAGUGCUGCAUGUUGGAAAAGAGGGUUUUGCAGGAGCCACUGGUGAGGAAGCAAAAAGGGAAAGGAAAAAUGGAGUAAGAUGGGAGACAGCAAGCUGCUUCUACACUGAAAAAAAACACUUAGCAUUCCAGUUCAUCAGUGCUCUUCUUUAUUUUCUGCUUCCAAAGCACAAUCACCACCAAUGAGAUCUGCAUGGAGAGCUGGGAGUGAAGAAGCUUUUGAGGCAGGAGGGCUGUAGACAUUCGUGUUGUCUCCUCAAAGGCUGGGAAGCCAAAGCAUGAGCUUAAGUGCAGUUGGAUUCAGCUGGCAGAACUGUUGGCUUUGCUAUGCCUCAUUCAAAUCUUUGCUUUAGUUGUGCCACCCAGCAAGCAAAGCUUAAGAAGUCCCCAAAAUACAGGGUAUAAUAAUGGAAAAUACUUCCAGAAAAAUGAAAGUGCAGCACUUAGUAAUAGAAAAGCAUGGGUAAUGAGGGACUUGAUUUGAAACAUAUCAUUUGUCAGAUAAUUUGGAGGCACAUCUCAAAACAGUGCACAAAAUGGAGUUUGCUGUACCCGCUGAAGUCACCCCAAACAUUCUUUCUUUGUUGCAAGUCUGUUUUUAAAUCUAAGCCUUCAGAAAAGAACCUGGAACUGAUAAAUGACAUAAAAGAAUAAAUGUUCACAACAAAUAUUCUGGGCUUAGUUCAAACACAAUGUUAGAAAGCUGAAUUAACUGUGUUUGUAUCAAACCCAAAUAUAUUUUAUGAAACAAUGAGGCCUCUUAAAUGACUAACUGCUGCCCAGAAUAUAUUUUCCCUGAACCAAACUGGAUAACAGUUUCCCUCUUAAAUUGGUCAGAACUGGCUGCCAAAUGACAAUUCUGUGUCCCAUAUUUAUUCACCAUCUGUGACUUCCACAUCAAUUUGCUCAUUUUGGAAAUCAAAACUUGAGGUUUUUUCUCCCACAACCUCUUUCUUUUCCCUCUUCUACCAGAGCUGAAGGGUGAAAACCAAGGAAGGCUUUUUGCUGCAUUGUGCACAAGGCACGAUGGAGUGGGGCAAGUUCCUCUGCAGCUCUGCUGGCUUUGUGCAGUAGUUGAGUUUUGCUAAUGCAGUAGGUUAUAGAUGAGCAGCAGGUGGGAGGAAUUCCUCCAAGUGACCUGUAUUAUCCCAGAUGAAUGAGAGAGUAGGACGUAAAAGGGAAAGGGGAGGAGUAAAUUUGCCCGUUUGUGGCAUCCUUUACCAACCUGAAAGGCUGCAUUUACUUGGCAAGUGGCAGCUUAUGAUGGAAGCUACCAGCUCCUGAAAGGAGGAGAACUAGGAAAACUGAUUCUGGGUAGUAGUCGUCCAACAUCACUGCAUUCCAUCUAUUUCUGUUCUUAAAAAACACUUGACAUUUUGUGGCUACAUAGCAAGCCUCUGCAUACACCUCCAUGCUCAUCAUCCCCCUGGCAUUGGCAGAGGUUGGGCCUGAAGAGUGUGACCCCCACAGAUAGAUAUUCUUCUUUGUAAUAUCUCUCAACACAAGAAACAUUGGGGCACUCAGGAGCACUGAUGGCAGCUCAGUCUAUGAUGAGGAGACAGGAAAAGCUGGUUCAUGCAGAAUGCAAUCAGGCAACGAAACCCCCACACUCCUAAGAGGUCAGGGAGCACAAGCUGUGCUGGAUUUGGAGGUGACUCUAGCACUGUAGUUACAAGAACUCAUUGGAGUGCUCAAAACUCAGGUGAUAAAGGAACACAAGAGGAAUGAAGCCCUCAAAAGAAAUCUUUCUUGCUCUUCCAUCCCUUUUGCAGCACUGCAUACCUGUUACUACAGUAGCAGAAUUUUACCCUGAGCUGACAU